GGGGUUGUAGUUCAAUCAGUCAGAGCACAGCCCUGUCAAGGCGGACGCUGCGGGUUCGAUCCCCAUCAGUCUCG